rnacentral:rRNA from 2 species
UACAGAGGUCUCAAGCGUUGUUCGGAUUCAUUGGGCGUAAAGGGUGCGCAGGCUGUGUGGUAAGUCAGGUGUGAAAUUUAGAGGCUCAACCUCUAAACUGCACUUGAUACUGCCAUGCUAGAGGACUGUAGAGGAGAUUGGAAUUCACGGUGUAGCAGUGAAAUGCGUAGAUAUCGUGAGGAAGACCAGUGGCGAAGGCGAAUCUCUGGGCAGUUCCUGACGCUCAUGCACGAAGGCUAGGGGAGCAAACGGG